AAACUGAAGGGUUUGAUCCUGGCUCAGAACGAACGCUGGCGGCGUGGCUAAGACAUGCAAGUCGAACGGGCCAGCCAACUGAGCAAUCAGAGGCUGGCCAGUGGCGAAAGGGUGCGUAAUGGAUAGGUAACGUACCCCAUGCACCGGGAUAGCGUCGUCCCGAGCAAUCGGGACUACCGAAAGGGGCGGUAAUACCGGAUAAUAUCAGCGGCCGCAGGGCUGCUGAUCAAAGAUUUUAUCGGCAUGGGAGCGGCCUAUCUCCUAUCAGCUUGUUGGUGAGGUAACGGCCCACCAAGGCUACGACGGGUAGCGGGACUGAGAGGUCGGCCCGCCACAUCGGGACUGAGACACUGCCCGGACCUCCACGGAGGGCUGCAGUAACGAAUAUUGGGCAAUGGGCGAAAGCCUGACCCAGCGACGCCGCGUGUGGGAUGAAGUCCUUCGGGAUGUAAACCACUGUCAGGGGUAAGAAAGUCCCGAGCAAUCGGGAUUGAUCGAACCCAGAGGAAGCCACGGCUAACUCUGUGCCAGCAGCCGCGGUAAGACAGAGGUGGCUAGCGUUGUUCGGUGUUACUGGGCUUAGAGCGUGUGUAGGUGGGAAGGUACGCGUCUUGUGAAAUCCCCCGGCUCAACCGGGGAAUUGCUUGACGAACCGCCUUCCUUGAGGCAAGUAGGGGUGCGUGGAACUCUUGGUGGAGCGGUGGAAUGCGUAGAUAUCAAGAGGAACGCCGGCGGUGAAGACGACGCACUGGGCUUGUCCUGACACUGAGACACGAAAGCGUGGGGAGCAAACAGGAUUAGAUACCCUGGUAGUCCACGCCCUAAACGAUGCCUACUAGGUGGUAGGGGUUCUGACACCCUUACGGCCGUAGCGAAAGCGUUAAGUAGGCCGCCUGGGGAGUACGGUCGCAAGGCUAAAACUCAAAGGAAUUGACGGGGGCUCACACAAGCGGUGGAGCAUGUGGAUUAAUUCGAAGCAACGCGCAGAACCUUACCUGGGUUUGACAUGUACGGAUGGCGGCCUGGAAACAGGCUUGUCUGCCCGCAAGGGUGAAACGUGCACAGGUGCUGCAUGGCUGUCGUCAGCUCGUGUCGUGAGAUGUCGGGUUAAGUCCCACAACGAGCGAAACCCCUGCCGUUAGUUACCAGCGGGUAAUGCCGGGGACUCUAACGGGACUGCCGGUGUUAAGCCGGAGGAAGGUGGGGAUGACGUCAAGUCCUCAUGGCCUUUAUGCCCAGGGCAUCACACGUGCUACAAUGGCGGGUACAGAGCGACGCAAUACCGCGAGGUGGAGCAAAUCGCAGAAAACCCGCCCCAGUUCGGAUUGUAGGCUGGCAACUCGCCUACAUGAAGCCGGAAUCGCUAGUAAUCGCGCAUCAGCUAUGGCGCGGUGAAUGUGUUCCUGAGCCUUGUACACACCGCCCGUCAAGUGAUGGGAGUCGGGAGUACCUGAAGUCGGAUUGCUAACCCGCAAGGGAGGCGUCUGCCUACGGUAAACCCGAUGACUGGCACUAAGUCGUAACAAGGUAGCCGUAGGGGAACCUGCGGCUGGAUCACCUCCUUUCUAAGGAUUAA
rnacentral:rRNA from 1 species